AGAGAGUCCUGUCCCCCAGCCCUGCUACCCCCUGCACACACACCCCUGGCCUCUGUGCACCCUGAUGCUUGGCAAUAUGCUCCCUCUUGCCUCCUUUCUCUCCCCAUCACCAGCUUAAUUCCUUAAUUCCUGCUGGAGAUAAGCAGAUCUUUCACUGCAAUUUAUUGUUAAUCCAAAAGAAAACAGGGGUGGGAAGGGGUGAGGGCUGGAAAGGAUGGGAAGGAUGGUGAGGUGCAGACAGCGACCCGCGCUGCCACUCUUAGGUCUUGGACAGCUGUGGCUGAAGGCAGGCAAUCAGAGGCCAAUGUUCCAGGCUGCUCAGCCCACAUCUGGAGCACCAGGUUCAAUUCUGUGAGCAACUCCCCUGUGACUGGGGAUCUAGACACCGAAGACGGCAUCUGAGACCGUGAGGUCACACCUGCUGGGAGGGCUCUUCCUGUUUACUUCUUGUGAGCCUCUCAGGACCCCCUGGCCCCCAUUCUACAGUUAAGGGAAGUCAAGUUUAGAGAAGACGAGAUGCUCAUUUUAAGACUGACACAGUCCUUAUGAGCAACCGUCUCUCCAUGUGGCAUGGACUAGUGGCCCACUAGGCUAGACCCCGGGGAAACCAAGCCGCAUCAGCAAGGGAACUCUCAGUACUGUGGAGAAGACAAACUUCAGGCUCAAAGAACUACCGAGCAAGGUGGAGAGUAUCAGACCACAGGGUGGCACAGCUAGGUGCUGGGGCUGUGAGUGAAGAGGUGGUCCUCAAGUGGGAAGCCUGAGGACUGCAGUGGCUCCUGACCUCAGCAGUUAGUGUCUAUGGGCUGGAAGGGAGAAUGUGAGGGAACAGGAGGUACAAUGGCACUGGGUGGGGAAGCACCAGAGUGAGCAGGGUGGGGUGCAGGGAGGGCAGUGGGAGAUGAGCUAGCGGCGCAGCCAUCACAUGCUCCAGGGCCUAUGAGUGUCCUUCUGGGGUACAGUCAUCCAAGCAGCAGUGUGGGCACACAUAGUCAGGAGUCUGGCUGCCAGUAAUGAUGUUGCUGUCACCUCCCCUGCAGUGGGACCCGUGUGAAGUAGUAACAGGGCUGGCUUGGCUCCAAGGCACCUCCUCUACCCUGCUCUUAUCCUAGCAGCUAACCGCAUCUGCCCACAAGACACCAGGACCAAGAGUGGGAGGGACCCGGGGGACCCGGGGCACAGCUCAGGGAGAACUCCAUUCCCGGCAGCUACCUCCCCAAUCCCACGUGGGGCUUGUGCUCCAGAAGAACUGCAGACAGGACCUUAUGGGGUUGCUUCAUGGGCCCAACAUAGGCCUCUUGUCCCCUACUCUCAGAUAAGGACUCUUAUCUGAUCACAGAUUGGCUGUCCAAUCUCCGCUGACUCAGCUGACGGGAAUAGCAGCUCCCCUGCCAAAGUAUGAACUGAACUGUGUGACCACUUGUGGGGGUCAAGUGAGCCCAGGUGUGCCCAGAAGCAGUCAUUUGGGUCUAGCCUGCAGUUUUUCCAAAAAGCCUGAGGCACCAAGGGAGGGGAUGUGCUUCUCUUUGCUCUGGUCUUGUUUUUCAGUGACACCCACCAGGCCACGGUGGUGCUCUGGAAGCCGGGUGGUGGGAGAGAAAGAGACUGCAGAGUGGAGGCAGCGACGGGCACCAGAAUCUGCUAAGAAAAAACCAAUCCUGUCUCCGGGAGCUGCCAUGCUCUGGCUCACACUGCAGGGGACUGAAGAUGGAGGUGGCAGGUGAAGUGGACGGCCAUCUCAUGGACACAUUCAGUGAGGACACAUCCAGCCUGGCUGUCCAACCCAGCUCAUUUCAUCUUCCUGAUCUACUGGGUUUGCAGUCUCAAGUCCUGGCACCUAAUUUGGCCAUACUGGCAUGAGAUGGGCAGCAAGAUGGAAAAACCAAGGCCUGAAAAGCAACUUCACUGAGGUCACUCAGCUAGCAGUCGAUGGAGCUGGAUUUCAACGGAGCCCAGAUCGCCACCCUCCACAGUGUCACUAUGCUGGGCUGCCAAGAUGGGGCAACCACCAGGUGGCAGGGAGAGGACUGGGCUAUCUGCUUCUCUGCUCUCCCUUGGAAACCUGAAAGGCACAAUUCCCAUUAAGACCCAGUGACUAUACACCUAUGGCCUCUCCUGAGCCCUACCCAGGAUAAACCUGGGAUUAUCCACUGCCCUGAAAAUUCUACAGUGUGCUGUCAGAA